UGCCAAAACCAACGGACCCGCACAAAGAGUUCCGGCAAGCCGGCGCCGCGAUCAAAUGCACAGAUCAACAAGCACACCAGGGGUGAAAACUGGCAAGUGGACGUGUGGACAGCAGGGAAAAUUGGCACAACUGGAGAUAUGCAAAUCAGCUAGGAAGCUGUUCCAGUUAUCCGGGCACAGGCGGCCUGCCGUGAUAAAGAUGUUAGAAGAAACAGUACAUGUGCUGAUUUAAUUAUAGACGUCUUAUUUGGAGAACUAGACACACACAAUUGCCCUUCAUGACUUUCCUGGGAAAUUCCUGUUCGAACAGGUGAAGCUUAGCCAGAUCACCUGCCUGCUCUCUUCCUAACUGGAGCUCCCCCUGUGGACCAUCAUGUUCCCAUGAGUCACCUGACGUGCGAUGCUGCAGCAGACAGGGCACAAGGCAGAUGGGAGAGCUUCCUGUCUUCUAAACACAUGACACUUUUUAAAACACAACAGCUCUGGCGUGUUGUUCAUCCGAGAGGCCUUGAAAGGUGUUUGUCGGUACAAGUGUAUCUGCAUGCUUCCUGGGAAGAAUUCUCCACGAAACAGCAGCUGUUCCUGAAUCAUCCAGAGGCAGCGGGUUACUCAAGAGCUGCCAUUUUCAGUAGGCAAGAAAAGGGGGAGAGGAGAGGGAAGCCAAUCUGCAGGAACCUGCAAGAGAAUUUGGAGAUGUGCUAAUUAAAGAACAGCAGAUUUUAGCUGUUUGUCCAAAAGUAUAAGUGCAAAAAUUACUCUUCCAGAAUAGCAAGUUUUGAAACACUAAUAAGUUGGCAGAUUCGUUAGCUCUGGUGUGUUAUAUUUUUUCACACACCUUAAAAAAAACAUUUGGCAUGAGCACCACCACCACCACCAGACAGCCUCCUACAGACUCGAGGGCACCUGGAAGCAAAGAUGCAGUUCAGUGCUGGCACCAGGGAAUCACCACAUGCACACAGGCUGGGGGCCUCAGUGCACACUGAACUCAAACUUCAGACACGGAGGAUAACAAUUAAGUCAGCGUCUCCCUUUCUUAGGUACGUGUGCGCCUGUGUUUUGGGGAGCAGGGAGCAUACGUUCAAGUCUAUCAGAGAAAGCCAGAGAGAGAAGAGAGAGGAGAGAGGGGAGACAGAGGAGAGAGAGGAGAGAGGAGAGAGAGGAAAGAGAGGAGAGAGAGGAGAAAGGAGAGAGGAGAGAGAGGAGAGAGGAGAGAGGGGAGACAGAGGAGGAGGGAGAGAGAGAGAGAGAGAGGAGUUUCUGAAUGUUGAGAAUAUUGGUUGCAAGCAACUUCAUCCAUUAAGAGGGAAAUUUGCAAAUGGGAAAAAGGAAAUGGAACGGAUUUAUUCAGAUAAGGGACAUCAGUGGAAAUUUUGGGUGUUGGAAGAUGCUGCCUUAGAAUACAAAGAGUUUUGUGAAUUCUUUGCAUUUUUAAAAAACACUUUUUUCUUAUUUCUUCCUGCAUUUUACUGAGAGCUAAGCAAUAAACACUGUG